GAAGAAGGAGUUGAUGUUGUUCUCCCACUCCAAGUCCUGAGGGACUGUAAUUCCCAGGGACUUGAAGGUCACGACGGUUGUUGGAGAGCGUGAGGGGCAGCAGUGGAGAAAGAUGUUCAUCUUGAACGUGUUCAGCUCCAGGUUGCGCCGCCCGCACCUCAGCUCCAGUCAUUGCACUUCGUGUCGAUGUACGAUUCCUCAUCACUGUCUUUGAUGUGGACAACGACUGUGAUAUCGACUGCAAACUUUUGAUAGCUGGGUGCCUUGAGGUGGAAUCUUUCAUGUAGAGAGAGAAGAGCAGUGGAAAGGGGACACAUCCUUGGGGUGCCCCGCUGGUGGUGGUGUGAGGACAAUAUAAAAAAUGAGUCAGCCUCUCGAAAGAAAACAAACGCAGUUUCUGGCUACUCGGGUGUGAGGUGUCCUGAAGUAUGUUGCGGAUGAUAACAAUCCAUUCGUGCAGCAGGAUGUCCGUUCCAGCAACGAGGUGGCUGUUAUGAAGUGGGCUGGUACACUAUUAGAUGUCUGCCCUCCAAGGCAGCAGAUGGAUUUAAGUGGCCGCCGUCGCCGGCUCACCUCGCGGUGAGUGACAAAAUCAGCAGCACAUCAGCAUAUCUUCUUUUCCUCGUAGCCGCCGGUGAGAGAGCUCCUUUGACAGCAUUUCACACAAAGCGCCGGGUGUGCUGAGGACAACAGCCGAGCAGGUUCGUCGUGGAGCAAGCGGCUCUGUAAUUGGGAAAAUCACAGCUGCAUUUACGGCGAGGAGUCACUGUGCUUGCGACAUGGCAGAGCUGAGCGAUCCAAACGAGUAAACGAUGUCUUCGCAGAUGACCCAGCAGGGGAUCGGCACUCUGCUGUGUGACUGAAAUGUGCAUGACAAACGCUUUGGUCUGUUUGAACACGAGCUAGGUGAAAGUGAAUAAACAGAAUUUACAUAGAGGUGGAAAAAGCUUCCUGGGCACCACAAUCAGUAAGGAAACUCAAGCUCCAGAGUCUUCUCUCUUCACUUUACAAAGCCUUGCGAUGUCUUUUUUCGUUAGUGUAGUUAUUUACAGUUUCGUAGUUUUUGUUUUUGUUUUUUUUUUUACAGCAUAUGAAUGGGCAAUGUGUUCUGUAUCCUGAUUUGCUCAAGAAAACUUUGCAUCGUCUUCUGCGUCCUGACGGGCUAAGGGACUGUAGAACUUUGUCAACUGCCUGAAGGCCAAGGUCGGCAGGGAAGCCCCGCGGUGUUUUGGCGCAUCCGCACAUAGGGUCGCGGCUUCAGUUCUCAAACACAAUCGAAGGUGGCAUGUCUGUUUAUCAGGAUAUUCUUGCUCAGAAAAAAAAAGAGCACCAACAACGACCCAUAGGUAGGUUUUUCAGUCUCAGACAGACACCUGCACCAAGGUGCUUCAGUGGAAAAAGUCAACUGCGUGGAAGAACUGUAAAAUUUGCCCGAGUUGCUGUGAAUAAUUUUCUGU